UUUGGUGGCAAUAGUGACGAGGAAACACCUGUUCCCAUUCCGAAUACAGAAGUAAAGCUCGUUACGUCGAAAAUACUCGGCUGGUUACGGCCCGGAAAAAUAGAUACUGCCAAGA
rnacentral:rRNA from 1 species